GUCCCACGACCCUUCCAGGGAAGAGAGUGUUCGUGACGCGGGCGGCCCCCAAAUCCGCAUAACAAUCUCUGUUGCCCCCCCGCCAAAAUCCUCAGAUCCCCUUGCUGCAGUGCAGAUCUCUCUAUAAUCCGCGCUCGUGGCGACCUCUCCUCCAGCUUCCGUUCCUGAAAUCCAUCUCUAGUUUCGCCAUUUGGGUUUUUUCUCGAGGGUUUCGCUCCUCACUCAUCUGAUUUAACGAAGGGAGCUGGGUCACACCCACAGGCCGCGGCUUCUGAAAUUCGAUGGCCGUGGCUGCAGCGCGCCUGACGCUCCCAGAUCGAUUCGACGAGGUUUACAUAGCCUCUGCCCGGUGAAAAGAUGGGCUCGUGGGUUAUACGCGCCUCGCACAUGCACGAGCUGAAUUUCUUCUCGCCUUUUCGAUCAUGACGUCUUUCGUUUUUUUGACGUAUAUGAUUUUCCCUGGUGCUAGCGCCGAGCGCAACUGUGGUUGAGAUCCAAUGCUCCUCGUUACUCCGUCCACCUUUACCUAUGGACCAGUUUGCAUGUAGUUGCAGUCUUUUUCUAAUGUCGAUAAUCUGAUGUUGUGGCUAGUUCUCCUCGAGUGGCAAUAUAAUAUUCUCCGGAUGCACAUGAUUUGGAUCAUCCGCUGUGGAGUUUAGGGUUUUGUUCAGGUUUUACAGGCUCUGCUUUCUGGUAUCUAGCAGUGUUUGUUUCUUUCGUUCUGAAUCUCGCUUUUCGUUCUGAAUCAUCUCUCGUUUCGGGACAUCCUGAGUCAUCUAAUUUUUUCCUUUUGAAUAACGUCUCCUACUAAGACGGGUAUACCCUUUUCAAGCAUUGGAUUUAUCAGUUAUUAUUACCCAUGUCUCUCCUUUUUCUUUUCAAGAAUAUAUCUCUUACUUAUUAUUUAUAUACAUCAUGAUAAGCCUCAGCACUAAGAGACAAUGUUCAUAUUUGUGUGUAUAAAUAGGGAAGUCAAUGGAUCAGGAUCCAAAUGUUUUUUCACAAUAUGGUUAAUUAAUUUUAGUUUAAAAAUAAAUAAAAAUAUACAUUUAAAUAAUUUU
rnacentral:lncRNA from 7 species